GAGAGAGAGAUCUGAAGAGGUCCUACCUAUUUGGACGAAACACGGCGUGAGCCCAGUUCUUAAUACUGGCAUGCUUUCCCCCCAGAGCAUAUAGAGCAAUGACAGCUUGGUUCUGGUCUCCAGUGUGGAUUAUAUAUCUCCAUCUCGGUGUGCAUCAUGCUAUUGCAGAGAACGUAUCAAAUGUGAAUUAGGAGACACAGUAUUCCUUCAGCCCAACAUCAGUGUUAAAGGCGAUGACAGCGUGAGGUGGUCAUUUAAUGAUAAACUGCUGAUAAAAGAUAAUAUGACAAAUAAUCCAAGAAAGUAUGUGAGAUCAGUGCACGGAGACCUGAGUAUAUGCAGAGGACACAAAAGUGAUUCUGGUUCAUACAAGGUUGAGAUAUUCAAGAGAUCAGGAACACGGAGAAAACAGCGAACAAUCAAUCUCACGAUCAAAGGCUUCAUUUCAGUGAUUUCAGGUGAUCACUUAAACCUUUGUGAGACCAAGCCUUGCAACAACGUUAAUGGAAGUGAACAUGUGACAUGUGAACAUGUGACAUGUGAGCAAACCACUAGACGAGGACACUUGUCAACCAUUGUAGUCCUGUCAUCCUUUGUAUUGUUGUGUUUGUGAAAUCAAUGAAGAAAACUCCAUCAACAAGGAAAGAAGAUGCUAAUGAGAAUAUAUACCAAGAGAUGCAUGGUAACCUACUGAGAAAGACUCCGACAGCAGAGAACAUCACUUUAGAUCCAAAUUCCUCACAUUAUGAUAUCCCAAUGAGAUUUCUGAAGAAAAAAAAGAAGCACAAAGAGACAGACUGCCGAGUUUGAUGACAACGUGUACAUAUAACAGUCAUCAUCAUCAUCGUCAUCAUCAUCAUCAUCAUCAUCAUCAUCAUAAUUGGCAUCAUCGCCAUCAUUGUCAUCAUAAUUGGCAUCAUCUUCAUGCAUGACACUUCAGUGUCCAGCAACCAUAAAGAAUAAAUGUAGGCAUCAUGUUUUGUUAUAACCGUCGAUAUAACUGUCGCUCUCCUCUUCUAUAACCACUAGGUGGCAGCACUAUGUCACCUUAGGUAUAUGCAAGUGCUAGACAUUCAGCAGCUGACUGAAGCAGCAGUCUUCAGUCUACUUUCAGUAUACUAUAUUAUUAAAUGAUGAACUAUGAGCUUGUGUUUUUUUUUUCAGCUUUAUGGUAAGUUUAGUAGGGAUUCUGAUUUUCAUUUUUAAAUGAUGACAGUUUACACAUAUCAGAUGUUUUGAGAUAUUCAUAGGAGUCUUGAGUAUGUAAUAUCCAGCUAGCAACAUGGAUUCAUCCUAAUUUGUCUAAGCCUUAAUGUUGCACAUUUUAAAAUCUAAAAUUGAAAAUUUAAAAUCUGAAUUAAAACAUGU